UGGCUCAGAUUGAACGCUGGCGGAAUGCUUUACACAUGUAAGUCGAACGGCAGCACGGGGCAACCUGGUGGCGAGUGGCGAACGGGUGAGUAAUGCAUCGGAACGUGCCAUUGAGUGGGGAUAACGUAGCGAAAGUUGCGCUAAUACCGCAUAUUCUGUGAGCAGGAAAGCAGGGGACCGCAAGGCCUUGCGCUCUUUGAGCGGCCGAUGUCAGAUUAGCUAGUUGGUGAGGUAACGGCUUACCAAGGCGACGAUCUGUAGCGGGUCUGAGAGGAUGAUCCGCCACACUAGAACUGAGACACGGUCCAGACUCCUACGGGAGGCAGCAGUGGGGAAUUUUGGACAAUGGGCGCAAGCCUGAUCCAGCCAUGCCGCGUGAGUGAAGAAGGCCUUCGGGUUGUAAAGCUCUUUCGGCCGGGAAGAAAUCGCAUGGGUUAAUACCCUGUGUGGAUGACGGUACCGGAAUAAGAAGCACCGGCUAACUACGUG
rnacentral:rRNA from 1 species